rnacentral:rRNA from 1 species
AACGAACGCUGGCGGCAUGCCUAACACAUGCAAGUCGAACGAGACCUUCGGGUCUAGUGGCGCACGGGUGCGUAACGCGUGGGAACCUGCCCUUAGGUUCGGAAUAACUCCCUGAAAGGGGUGCUAAUACCGGAUAAUGUCUUCGGACCAAAGAUUUAUCGCCUUUGGAUGGGCCCGCGUUGGAUUAGCUAGUUGGUAGGGUAAAAGCCUACCAAGGCGACGAUCCAUAGCUGGUCUGAGAGGAUGAUCAGCCACACUGGGACUGAGACACGGCCCAGACUCCUACGGGAGGCAGCAGUGGGUAAUAUUGGACAAUGGGCGAAAGCCUGAUCCAGCAAUGCCGCGUGAGUGAUGAAGGCCUUAGGGUUGUAAAGCUCUUUUACCCGGGAUGAUAAUGACAGUACCGGGAGAAUAAGCUCCGGCUAACUCCGUG